AUCCAAUCAAAGAACGAAACAUUGGAAGAUAAACUGAACAGAGAAAACUUCCGAAGUCCGGACUCCAAAAGAGAGAGAGAACUGUGGAAAUUCGCACGCACUUCCCCCACUCCACUCCCUCACUUUUUUUUUUUUCUUCUUCUUCUUCUUUUUU
rnacentral:ribozyme from 12 species